CACAACUCCAACACAGCUGUCAUCCUUUACACACAACAACUCAGAAUUGAACACACAUGUUUCUAAUGAUGUGAUCAGACCAAGUGGGAAGGAUAAAAGCCAGUUCAGAGGGCACAUUCCAUGGACAAUGGAUAGAAACAUACAGAGAGGCAGAGGAGUUCGCAUGAGAGGUGGUGGAAGAGGAGGAAGAGGACGAGGAAGGGGAAGGGGAAGGGGAAGGGGAAGACCUCGAACAGUCAUUACAGAUGAAAUUUGGGCAACUACUGUCCACCAUGUCCUGGUUCAUGGGAUGACAAUGAGAGAGGCAGGACAAAGAGUCCAGCCUAAUUUGAGCAGGUUCUCUGUCGCAGGCAUCAUCAGGACAUUUAGAGAAGACAACAGGUAAGUGUGUCUUCGACUUACAUGUAUUUACUGUAUAUGUCUUUGAUAUCAAGAACACUACUGUACUUUACUGUAAGUACUGUAAUGUUCAUUACAAUACUGUUUUUACUGGCUGGAUAUUACAGUAAGUGCAUUUUCCUCUUUGUAGAAUUGAAAGACGACCACAUGAGGGAGGAAGGCCUUCUCUGUUCUCCCAACAACAAGGAAGACUCAUUGUUGAUAUGGUCCUUCAAAAUAAUGCCAUCCGACUCCGGGAUUUCCAGCAGAGAGUGACUGAAGACCAUGUCAACUUUCAUGGAAUCAAUAGAGUGUCUCUGUCAACGAUUGAUCGUGUCCUCCAACGAAACAGACUCAGCACGAAACAAGUGUCCAGGGUACCCUUUGAGCGCAACUCUGCAAGAGUCAAAGACCUAAGAUAUCAGUAUGUGCAGAGAGUGUUUGAGCUGGAUUCCAUGGAAAGGCCCCAUGAAUACAUUUUCAUAGAUGAAGCAGGGUUCAAUCUGGCAAAAAGGAGGCAGAGAGGCAGGAACACCAUUGGUCAACGUGCCAUUGUGGAAGUCCCUGGCCAGCGUGGUGGCAAUGCCACCCUCUGUGCAGCCAUGAGUAACUGGGGGGUUCUCCACCGUCAUGCAAACCUGGGGCCAUACAACACUGAGCAUCUCCUGGCAUUUCUAGGUGGUCUACAGAGUGUUAUGACUGAACGUGAACAGCAGAAUCAGCAAGAAGUGCAUCCUACAUAUGUCAUAGUUUGGGACAAUGUGAGCUUUCACCAUGCUGUCCUGAUUCGUGAGUGGUUCACUAACAACCAGCGCUUCAUCAAGGUUUUCCUUCCACCCUACAGCCCCUUCCUGAAUCCAAUAGAGGAGUUUUUCUCUGCGUGGUGGUGGAAGGUCUAUGACCGACAGCCCUACACCAGGGAAAAUUUAUUGGAGGCAAUGGAACGGGCCGGUGAUGAGAUAACUGCAGAGUCUUGUCAAGGCUGGGUUCGGCACACCAGAGGGUUCUUCCCCCGUUGUCUGGCAAGGGAAAAUAUUGCCUGCGAUGUUGAUGAAGUCCUCUGGCCAGACCCUGCACAAAGACGAGAUGCUGGAGACUGAAUCUGCAUGACUGUGACGACACAGUUGUGUGCAUUUUGUUUGUGUGUUUUUUUGUUUUGUAUUUAUUUUUUGUUCAUGACAGUGAAUUUACUGUAGACCUCACCUUGACUUCGAUGUUUUUUUGUUUUUGUUGCUAAAUGCAUUUCCACUAAAUAAACAUCUUCUGUGCA